AACUGCCCAACACCUCUGGCUUGGGGUGGCGGGGCGCAGCCACCCGGUCGACGCCUUCAGGCGAGAGGCCGAAGAUUCCCUGGUUGGAGUCCCGUUUCCUGGUGCCGGGGACUCCAGGCAUCUGAGGGCUCUGUCUCCCCAGCGGCCUCAGGACAGAGCAAGGCCCCCAGCAGGUGCCUCGAGACUGCCACACACCUGCCAGAUGCAUUCAGAGGAGCCCGUGAGCCCUGAGCCUGGGCUCCUGAGGAGGAGGAUCCAAGGCUGGGAAACCAGGGCCCUUCCCUAACCCCUGGCCAGCCAUACCUGUGUUGGCCCUGACAGAAGCUGGGUAGCUGACUGCCCGGCCCCGCUCCGCUGUGACAGUCACCACAUAUUCUACGCCUGGCAUCAGGCUCAGAGAAGACCCAGAAUGUGACAGACGCCCAUACCGAGAGCAGAAUGGAUGAGCUAAGAACAUGGCCAAGCCUGGCACAGGCCAACUUGGCACCACCACCCCGGCUCUGAGUGAGGGAGAAAGUCUAGGGCUUCGACUGGAAAGCGGCGCCCUUGACAACACCAACGAUCGGUUUGUAUUUAUUUACUCAGAGCAGGAGACAACUGCUGCCCUAAAAGCUCCUCUUAUCUCAAGUGUUUAUUUUAAUUCUUUCCCUGAAGUUUCUUAAGAAACUUCCUUUUCAAAGUCCCACCCUUUCAAGAUUAGAGCUAUGUAAAUAAUAUAUACAGAGAAGAAGAGAGUGGGAGAAACACUUUAAAAUGUUAGCCUUGCUUGUUUUAGUGAGGAGCAGCCAGAAAUUGUUUUUCUUUUCUCUAGUUGCCAAAUUCGUGUCUCGUGAUUAAAGUAUUUUUAUAACAACAACAAAAAAAGAUGUUUAAACGGAAGAAAAAAUUCAAGCUAUCUUGAUUGCGCCACAAAGUUGGGAUUUCUGCUUCUGCUUUGGCUGGAGAGUGAGGAGAGGCAGAACAUGGUAAGGGGCUGGCCUGAGGAGCAUAAUGACAAGACAAAGCAAAGUGGCGUGAGGAUGACAGUUCCUUUGAGCUGUCCCCUUCUGUCCUAGUGCCUUCCGAGGCUUUAGGCCCAGGGAGUUGUUUAUUUUUACAGAGUCCUGGCUAAGCUGAUGAAGAUGAGGGUGACAUGGCCCACACCCCAUAUGGCAUUUGUGGGAUGAUGCAGGAAAACAUGAGUUGGAUGGUAGAAAUGUCAGAAGAUUUGGAGCUGGGGAAACGACCAUAUCUUAAAAGCCCAGUCUGCACAAAGGGAGGCCCCAAAUGAGUGACCACAAGGCUUUGUCCUUAGGGUGUUCCCUCUAAUAUUUUAAGAGCAAGUUGGAUGGCCGGGAGUAGUGGCUCAUGCCUGUAAUCCCAGCACUUUGGGAGGCUGAGGUGGGCAGAUCACUUGAGCCCAGGAGUUCAGGACCAGCCUGGGUAUGCAACAUGGAGAAACCCCGUCUCUACUAAAAAUACAAACAUUAGCAGGCUAAGGUGGUGCACACCUGUAGUCCCAGCUACUUGGGAGGCUGAGGUAAGAGGAUGACCUAAGCCUGGGAUGCAGAGGUUGCAGUGAGCUGAGAUGGCACCACUGCACUCGAGCCUGGGCCACAGAGCAAGACUCUCUGUCUCAAAAAAAAAAAAAAAAAAAAAAGAGCAAGUUGGAGAGAGACAGAGAAAAAACUGGUUUGCAUGUGCUGAUGACAAGGAGGUGGGAGAUGAAGUUCACAGACUCAAAAUUAUUGCAACAGCCUAGACAGCUUGGCCCAAACCAAAAAAGAUAACAUUGAACAGGGCCAAAUGCAAAGGCCUAUAUUUAGGUGAAAAAAAAAAGUGUAUAUAAUUGAAUGUUGUCUUCUUUCCUUCCAUCUUUUUUCCCUGCUAAUCUGUAUUUUCUAAGUUUUCUGCAC